GACGGAGCCAAUCCUCAUAAGCCGGCGCCAGUUCGGAUUGAGGUCUGCAACUCGACCUCAUGAAGCCGGAAUCGCUAGUAAUCGCGGGUCAGCUAUACCGCGGUGAAUACGUUCUCAAGUCUUGUACUCACUGCCCGUCAAACAAGGGAAGCCGGGAGCACCUGAAGCUCGCGCUCGUCGCGAGCCAAGGUGAGCUUGGUAACAAAUGUUAAGUCGUAACAAGGCACGGGUAGCGGAAGCUGCUCGUGGAAUUAUUCAAAA
rfam:Parcubacteria group bacterium RIFOXYD2_FTLL_52_8 rifoxyd2_full_scaffold_1814, whole genome shotgun sequence.